GACGAACGCUGGCGGCGUGCCUAAUACAUGCAAGUAGAACGCUGAGGACUGGUGCUUGCACUGGUCUAAGGAGUUGCGAACGGGUGAGUAACGCGUAGGUAGCCUACCUCAUAGCGGGGGAUAACUAUUGGAAACGACUGCUAAUACCGCAUAACGUGCACGGAAGGCAUCUUCUGUGUACCAAAGAUUUAUCGCUGAUAGAUGGGCUCGCGUCUGAUUAGAUAGUUGGCGGGGUAACGGCCCACCAAGUCGACGAUCAGUAGCCGGACUGAGAGGUUGAACGGCCACAUUGGGACUGAGACACGGCCCAG
rnacentral:rRNA from 1 species